UACGGAGGGGGCAAGCGUUAAUCGGAAUUACUGGGCGUAAAGCGCACGUAGGUGGUUUGCUAAGCCAGCUGUGAAAUCCCCGGGCUCAACCUGGGCACUGCAGUUGGAACUGGCAAGCUAGAGUAGGGUAGAGGGGUGUGGAAUUCCAGGUGUAGCGGUGAAAUGCGUAGAUAUCUGGAGGAACAUCAGUGGCGAAGGCGACACCCUGGACUCAUACUGACACUGAGGUGCGAAAGCGUGGGGAGCAAACAGG
rnacentral:rRNA from 1 species